rnacentral:rRNA from 1 species
UACGUAGGGCGCAAGCGUUGUCCGGAAUUAUUGGGCGUAAAGAGCUCGUAGGCGGUCUGUUGCGUCCGCUGUGAAAACUCGGGGCUUAACCCCGAGCCUGCAGUGGAUACGGGCGGACUAGAGGUAGGUAGGGGAGAAUGGAAUUCCCGGUGUAGCGGUGAAAUGCGCAGAUAUCGGGAGGAACACCGGUGGCGAAGGCGGUUCUCUGGGCCUUACCUGACGCUGAGGAGCGAAAGCGUGGGGAGCGAACAGG